GUGGGUAUAGCUCAGUGGUAGAGCACAUGCUUAGCAUGCACAAGGUCCUGGAUUCAAUCCCCAGUACCUCCA
rnacentral:tRNA from 1 species